CCUACGAGAGGCAGCAGUGGGGAAUAUUGGGCAAUGGAGGCAACUCUGACCAAGCAACGCCGCGUGAAUGAUGAAGGUCUUCGGAUUGUAAAGUUCUGUGAUGGGGGAUGAACACAAUGACGGUACCCCAAUAGCAAGCCACGGCUAACUACGUGCAAGCAGCCGCGGUAAUACGUAGGUGGCAAGCGUUAUCCGGAAUGACUGGGCGUAAAGGGUGCGUAGGUGGUUUAGUAAGUUGGCGGUGUAAUUCCGGGGCGCAACCUCGGCGCUACCGCCAAAACUAUUAGACUAGAGUGCAGGAGGGGUAAGUGGAAUUCCUAGUGUAGCGGUGGAAUGCGUAGAUAUUAGGAGGAACAUCAGGGGCGAAGGCGACUUACUGGACUGUAACUGACACUGAGGCACGAAAGCGUGGGGAGCAAACAGGAUUAGAUACCCUUGUAGUC
rnacentral:rRNA from 1 species